UUUUAAUGCCAUCAAGGGUGAAAAAUUUUGUUGAGAGUGAAAAUAUGAGUAAGAAAUACCUAAACAUAAUAAAUGCAUUUGUUUUGGGCACUCACUGAGAUUAUGGGUAUGAAAAGUUCAGCAUAUGACAAAAAUUGCUGGUGUGGAAGAAGACAAUAGCUAGUAGUGGAUUGUUUAUACCGCUGUUGGCUGAUCAAACUAGCUGAAUUUGAUGAAUAAUAUGGCAGCAAACUAGGCAUUGCAGAGUGGAAGCUGAUGUGGGUGAUUGGUGCUGCAUAUACAAGAGAGUUUAGCAGGAAAUGGGAUGGUUCACUUCUCAGGUGUUAUCCAAAAUGGUGGCAGUGGCAGAUACAAAUGGAAAUGAAUAUGAGAAAGGUUCAAGAAAUUGAGCUUUCUUAAUAAGCCUUUUGAUUUUAAAAGAUGCAUGGUUUGUAUGAUAUUAGAGCUUAUGAAACUCAUCCUAAACUAGUCUCCAAUCUGAGUUCCAGUUGAAGGGUAUUUCUAGGGACAUGUUGCUUCGAUGGGAUGGGAGGACUGACUGAGAUAUCCAGUUUCACUGGAAAUUAAGUUUCCUUGAUAUAUUAAUAAUUGACAUAGGGAUUAUUUGCAACAUAAA